CAGUAGAGUUUACUGAGAAACUACUUUGAAACUCUAUUAGUAAUUUUCUUAAUUUUUGCUGUUGUUCUUGAUCAAUGUUUUUGCAAGAAUUUUCAAACACAGACUUCAAAUGUUCAGGAAAUUUUUCAUUUGUUUUCUUUUCAUGUUUUGUCAAAACAUUUAUUGAUUGGGGAGUAUUUUCAACAAUCCCUGAAGUAACUUCUAAAUUUGCCACCACUGUCCCUUUGAAAAUUUUGACACUCUGAUCACCUAAGUUCAUGUAUCGAACAGGUACUUUAUCAGUUUCAACUUUUGCCAAAAUCUUGGGAACUAAUACAUCAUGUUUAUCCAAAAAUUUUGCCACAGGCUCUAACAAAGUAACCUUGUCAUUAAAUAAUGGGUUUUCUACUUUAGCCGGGGCAAUAAAUUCACUGAGAGGGGGAAUUUCUAUAGUUUCCGUCAGAAAUACUUUACAACAAUGCUCAUUCAAAGCUUCAUUUGUAAAGCAAGAAACAUCUACCCCCUUUAUUCUAAGCUUCAUUUUGUUCAACAGAACGUCACAGUUGUGUUCUUUCAUGAAAUCUAAACCCAAAAUACAUUCGUUUUGGAUAUUAGCCACUAACACAUUUUGAUUCACCGUAACAUCUCCCACACAUAUUUUCACUAGGCAUUCCCCUAGUACAGAUAUUUUCUCCCCACUAGCGGAUGUUAAAUGUACAAAUGAAGGGUUCAAAUCUAAUUUCCCCUUUAACUCUGAACUGUCUGCAAAAUCUGAGCUAAUAAUUGUUACACUAGCUCCUGUGUCGACCAUCAUUGUAGUUCGAAUGUUCUCAAUUUUGCCUACAACAAAAAUUCCUUCACCACGCCCCCUUACAUCACCUACUCUUUCAUUUUUAGGUGGAUUUUCAAACUUGAUAAUUUUCUCAACAUCAUUUUCAGAUAUAUUGUUCUCAACAUCAUUUUCUGAUUUAUUGUUCAUUAAAUUGUCAUUUUUAGUUACAUUAACUGUAUUUUGAGGACUCUUUUUAAUACACUCAUUUCUUCCAGCAGGAAGAGGUCCUCUUAUAUCAUCCUUGCUUAACAGUGAUUGGGGCCUACCCCUGUGCUUUGUCGACUUCUGCCCCCUGAAUUCGACACGGGAAAGUUUCCCUGAUUUGAGGAUUGAAAGCGACCAUUCUGAGAUUGUCUAUUUGGCCUUGUCAGAGCCUGAUUUCUGUGUUGGAGAAGAGGUACCGGACCGUUGAUACACAUCACAAGUGAUGUAAUCAUUCAGAUCGCAGGACCUGCACCCAUUCUCCUCAGAGGCUUCAAAUUGGCUGUUUUCAUUUGACAUUUUGACUUUUGUUAUUGGCUAUUGCAACACAAAUUUAUGUGUUUAUAUGUCAAUGUGCUUGUCGUUGUCAAUAGACUUAACAAGACUUAUAAGUCAAUAUUUUUAGAUCCUGAUGUAGACUUUCGAUCAACCAGAAUAAAAGGAAGACUUUAUCCCACUUCUGACACCAAUUGUUACGACUUACAGCUUUAUGUUUAGCGGCGUAACAUUGUGGGGCUCCUUAAUCUGAAUGUUGAACGAAAGACAACAGGAUAUAAUUUGUUUUUAAUAUUUUAUUAGAUUUUAUUCAAUAAACAUACAAAAAUA